UACGUAGGAUGCAAGCGUUGUCCGGAAUUACUGGGCGUAAAGCGUGCGCAGGCGGUGAUGUAAGACAGGUGGGAAAUCCCCGGGCUUAACCUGGGAACUGCAUUUGUGACUGCAUCGCUGGAGUGCGGAAGAGGGGGAUGGAAUUCCGCGUGUAGCAGUGAAAUGCGUAGAUAUGCGGAGGAACACCGAUGGCGAAGGCAAUCCCCUGGGCCUGCACUGACGCUCAUGCACGAAAGCGUGGGGAGCAAACAGG
rnacentral:rRNA from 1 species